rnacentral:rRNA from 1 species
UACGUAGGGGGCAAGCGUUAUCCGGAAUUACUGGGUGUAAAGGGAGCGUAGACGGCGCUGCAAGUCCGGAGUGAAAGCCCAUGGCUUAACCAUGGAACUGCUUUGGAAACUGUGCAGCUGGAGUGCAGGAGAGGUAAGCGGAAUUCCUAGUGUAGCGGUGAAAUGCGUAGAUAUUAGGAGGAACACCAGUGGCGAAGGCGGCUUACUGGACGGCAACUGACGCUGAGGCUCGAAAGCGUGGGGAGCAAACAGG